UACGUAGGUGGCGAGCGUUGUCCGGAUUUACUGGGCGUAAAGAGCGCGCAGGCGGCUGGUCAAGUCCGAUGUGAAAGCUCCCGGCUUAACUGGGAAAUUGCAUCGGAAACUGAUCGGCUGGAAGGUGGGAGAGGGUAGCGGAAUUCCCGGUGUAGUGGUGAAAUUCGUAGAUAUCGGGAGGAACACCAGUGGCGAAGGCGACUACCUGGCCUGUUCUUGACGCUGAGGCGCGAAAGCUAGGGGAGCAAACGGG
rnacentral:rRNA from 1 species